rnacentral:rRNA from 1 species
UACGAAGGGGGCUAGCGUUGUUCGGAAUCACUGGGCGUAAAGCGCACGUAGGCGGACUUUCAAGUCAGGGGGGAAAUCCCGGAGCUCAACUUCGGAAUUGCCUUUGAUACUGUUGGUCUCGAGUCCGGAAGAGGUGGGUGGAAUUCCUAGUGUAGAGGUGAAAUUCGUAGAUAUUAGGAAGAACACCGGUGGCGAAGGCGGCCCACUGGUCCGGUACUGACGCUGAGGUGCGAAAGCGUGGGGAGCAAACAGG